rnacentral:rRNA from 1 species
CCUACGGGGGGCAGCAGUGGGGAAUAUUGGACAAUGGGCGAAAGCCUGAUCCAGCCAUGCCGCGUGUGUGAAGAAGGCCUUCGGGUUGUAAAGCACUUUCAGUGGGGAAGAAAGCCUUGGGGCUAAUACCCUCGAGGAAGGACAUCACCCACAGAAGAAGCACCGGCUAACUCCGUGCCAGCAGCCGCGGUAAUACGGAGGGUGCGAGCGUUAAUCGGAAUUACUGGGCGUAAAGCGCGCAUAGGCGGUCUGAUAAGCCGGUUGUGAAAGCCCCGGGCUCAACCUGGGAACGGCAUCCGGAACUGUCAGGCUAGAGUGCAGGAGAGGAAGGUAGAAUUCCCGGUGUAGCGGUGAAAUGCGUAGAGAUCGGGAGGAAUACCAGUGGCGAAGGCGGCCUUCUGGACUGACACUGACGCUGAGGUGCGAAAGCGUGGGUAGCAAACAGGAUUAGAUACCCGUGUAGUC